CGCUCACUCAGAACAUUAUCGCUGUAUUUUAAAGCUGUUCAUGAGACGUGUAACAAUAAGAUAUGUUUGAUGGAUCGUAUGCAAUCAAAGGUUUCAUACGUUACCCUUUCUUGGCUGCAAUAAGCGAGUGCAGCUACCUUUCAGUAGGACAGAACGUAUCACUACUAGUUUGUGUGAUAACUUGGAUGAUAACGGCCCUUUAUUAUCGCCGCAAGCUUGGAAGACAUCAGGAAGUGAGAAAACUUCAAAGGAGAUACCCUACCUUACAGGUCACUCCUAAAACAUAGGCUGAAAUGAGGAUCGCACAUCAAUUGAAGUACAGGCCUGGACAAAACGUUCCAUUUUUGGUAACAGUAGCUAGAGGAGGAUAUUUAGAGGUUGGUUUCUGGAACUGUCUGAUCUACGGGCUGAUCGCGUGGUCUCUCACUUCCUACUACUACGAGAAGAAACUUGAGGAUGAAGAGGAGAAGAGGAAAUGGCACAAACGAUAUCCUGGCUUAGACAAGGACAUUAUCUACUGAUUGUGUGAAUAGUUUGACUGUUGCAUGAAAGAGUCUUCACAGCUAAACGCUUGAUUUGAAGUUGUAAAUAUUAAAUAGUGUGGUGUGGUAAAUAUCAUGACACUAUUACUUUGGUAUUAUACCAACCACACCUAAAUUGGUUACCCAUGUGUUUAGGUUAGGUUAU